UUUGGCAAACGUCUAAUGACAAAGAGCCACCAUUGCCAAAUUCACCACUGUCUUUCACCAAGUUGAUUCAUUUUGAACUGGUUCCAGCAAUCUACUCAGAGUUGACCUCAGAGCAAAAAAUUGAACAACAGCUCCAUAUGUUGAUAUGAACUGUGACCCCGGGAGAAUGGUGGAAAAGUGUCUUGAUCCAGGAAGGAAGGGGUAUAGAGAAAAUAUGAGUCUCACCACAAUAGAAGGAACAUAUGCAAAAUCCAUCAAACAUACCAUAAAAUCAAUGUGGGAGCAACACCACUUUGGCCUACUGCUCCCUGAAAAGAUUUCUCUAGUCAGGUGAUGACAGGAGUACAUUUGUAAAUAAAUUACCAAGUUGCUUUUCACUUGAUGGAGAAGGAAGAAAAGGAUUGUCUCCUGGAAGUAUUUUUAUUGUCUUAAUAGGUAGGAUAAUAUCUCUGUUCAGCAAAGUGAGAUCUUUUGAGAAUCUUAACAAAUGUAUACCCCUCCCUCUCACCUUUUCCUCCCUGGUGUAUUUCACAGGCAGCUUUGCUAACUGACUGCACUACUACCAAUAGAUUCUGUCACUUUAGAAAUGGGGUUUUUCCUUUUAUAGGCAGAUUGAUGGACUAAGUGUCAAGGUUUUAGAACAGUAGCAUGAGUGGGGCAGACUCUAUAAACCAUAAGUCCAGUAUUGACAAAUGUCCUAGCCAAUCCAGAUGUUUCUAUUUGUUAAAUUGCCUUUAUCAACUCAUAGUUGUACAGCACAGGAUAUGGAAAAUAAUUGACAAGUUCUGAGAAGCCAGUUACUGAGCU
rnacentral:lncRNA from 1 species